GAUGAACGCUAGCGGCAGGCUUAAUACAUGCAAGUCGAGGGGCAGCGGGAUGUAGCAAUACAUUGCCGGCGACCGGCAAACGGGUGCGGAACACGUACACAACCUUCCUACAAGUGGGGAAUAGCCCAGAGAAAUUUGGAUUAAUACCCCGUAACAUAGCGAUGUGGCAUCACAUUGCUAUUAUAGCUUCGGCGCUUGUUGAUGGGUGUGCGGCUGAUUAGAUAGUUGGCGGGGUAACGGCCCACCAAGUCUACGAUCAGUAGCUGAUGUGAAAGAAUGAUCAGCCACACUGGCACUGAGACACGGGCCCGACUCCUACGGGAGGCAGCAGUAAGGAAUAUUGGACAAUGGACGCAAGUCUGAUCCAGCCAUGCCGCGUGAAGGAUUAAGGUCCUCUGGAUUGUAAACUUCUUUUAUAAGGGACGAAAAAAGGUCUUUCUAGAUCGUCUGACGGUACCUUAUGAAUAAGCACCGGCUAACUCCGUGCCAGCAGCCGCCGUAACAC
rnacentral:rRNA from 1 species